rnacentral:rRNA from 1 species
UAAACGCUGGCGGCGUGCUUAACACAUGCAAGUCGAACGGAGUGGUCCUCCCGAAGACCUGAUUGAGCUUGCUCUUGAUGGAAUUCAUUUGGAUCACUUAGUGGCGGACGGGUGAGUAACGCGUGGGUAACCUGCCCUAUACUGGGGGAUAGCGGUUGGAAACGACUGAUAAUACCGCAUAAGCGCACAGCAUCGCAUGAUGCAGUGUGAAAAACUCCGGUGGUAUAGGAUGGACCCGCGUCUGAUUAGCUAGUUGGUGAGGUAACGGCCCACCAAGGCGACGAUCAGUAGCCGGCCUGAGAGGGUGUACGGCCACAUUGGGACUGAGACACGGCCCAAACUCCUACGGGAGGCAGCAGUGGGGAAUAUUGGACAAUGGGGGAAACCCUGAUCCAGCGAACCGCCGCGUGAGUGAAGAAGUAUCUCGGUAUGUAAAGCUCUAUCAGCAGGGAAGAUAAUCGACGGUACCUGACUAAGAAGCACCGGCUAAAUACGUGCCAGCCGCCGC